ensembl:lncRNA
CUCAAUGUGCUGCCCCAGAGUUUUGGGGUGCUGUGGCUCCUUCUGUGUUAAAGCUGCUUCUCACUCUUCUCUUCCAAGGAGGAAGCAAUUGAGACGAGAGAUUUUAUCCUACGUGAUUACCUUCCUCAUUAUAAGAAUGUCUUUAUGGAAGUAUCGGAGAACACCAUUGAGACUGGGGACUUAGUGCUUUUCAAAAUGCUGUCCAGCAGCAAUGCUAUGCUCUGCUUCAAGCAUGCAGUUGUCUAUUGUGGGGACGGAGAGGUCAUCCACUUCCAGAGUAAGUGCAUGUGCCCUGCCUUCAUGCCAUGGCAGCCUACAGAACGACAUGGUGAUGGCCAACUCUUCACUUUUCAGAGAUCAAAGGUUCAAGUACAGGGCGAAUAAUCAAAGAAGGAUUCCGGCUUAUGAGACAGCAGAGGGGAAAAGGCAAGGUUCUCAGGAAAAAGGAGGGGGUCAACCUCGAAACCUUCACUGAGAAAGUCAAGCAGCUGAUGAACAGCACAGCCGAGUACAGCGCACUGAACAACAACUGCAUCAACUUUGCUCUCUAUCUGCUGGAUCUGGGGAACUUCAGCUUUCAGCCCGUGAGUAUGGAGCCAGGAUGGGGCGUUUGCAGUGGGGCCAGACAAGUCCCAGGACAAAAGAUAUUCUUUUCCCGCAGCCGAAGAGCCAUGAAGAGGAACUUGAAAGUUUGACUAUGUCAGGUUUAAUCAGACGUUUGGUGAGUAGAAGGGCUUUGAACCACCUUUCUCCCCAGCUCUCAAUGUGCUGCCCCAGAGUUUUGGGGUGCUGUGGCUCCUUCUGUGUUAAAGCUGCUUCUCACUCUUCUCUUCCAAGGAGGAAGCAAUUGAGACGACAGAUUUUAUCCUAUGUGAUUACCUUCCUCAUUAUAACAAUGUCUUUAUUGAAGUAUCGGAGAACACCAUUGAGACUGGGGACUUAGUGCUUUUCAAAAUGCUGUCCAGCAGCAAUGCUAUGCUCUGCUUCAAGCAUGCAGUUGUCUAUUGUGGGGACGGAGAGGUCAUCCACUUCCAGAAGAUCGAAGGUUCAAGUACAGGGCAAAUAAGCAAAGAAGAAUUCCAGAUUAUGAGACAGCAGAGGGGAAAAGGCAAGGUUCUCAGGAAAAAGGACGGGGUCAACCUUGAAACCUUCACUGAGAAAGUCAAGCAGCUGAUGAACAGCACAGCCGAGUACGACUUUUUGAAAAACAACAGCAUCAACUUUGCUUUUUAUCUGCUGGAUCUGGGGAGUUUCAGCUUUCAGUCCCCGAAGAGCCAUGAAGAGGAACUUGAAAGUUUGACUGCACAGCGCAACAUGAUCGUCUGAGAGGUUUCCAGAGUCUCAUUCCCCAGCACACGCCCAGAAGAGCUUCGUCCCCACCAUUCGUUUUUCCACAUGUCUGCUUCCUUCAAAAGAUCUGUAGGCAUUCCUUUCCAUCUUUUUGUGCUGGAUCAUAUCGCAGCAGGAGCUCUGCAUCCCCUGCACAUGGGUGGAAAUAUUAAUCAGCUGCUUUAUUGAUUAUUUGCACCUGAAGACUGCCUGUUUUCACUGCCUUACUUCAAAUGGUCAUAACACUCAGAGUAAUUUCAGAUAGAAUUACUUGUUAAUAAUAGUGCUUAUCUGUGUAUAACAAUUCUUAUCAGCAACUUCUUGUACUACUAAUAUCCACAGCCAAAUAACAAUAUCCAAGGUAAUGGUAUCUUAAGUAAUUAUAAUAAAAAAAAUUAAUCCUUCUUAUACUAUUAAAUC